rnacentral:rRNA from 1 species
GGCGGCGUGCUUAACACGUGCAAGUCGAGCGAAGCGCUUAAGUUUGAUUCUUCGGAUGAAGACUUUUGCGACUGAGCGGCGGACGGGUGAGUAACGCGUGGGUAACCUGCCUCAUACAGGGGGAUAACAGUUAGAAAUGGCUGCUAAUACCGCAUAACACCACACUACUGCAUGGUACAGUGGUAAAAACUCCGGUGGUAUGAGAUGGACCCGCGUCUGAUUAGGUAGUUGGUGAGGUAACGGCCCACCAAGCCGACGAUCAGUAGCCGACCUGAGAGGGUGACCGGCCACAUUGGCACUGAUACACGGCCCAGACUCCUACGGGAGGCAGCAGUGGCUAAUAUUGCACAAUGGGCGAAAGCCUGAUGCAUCGACGCCUCGUGAAGGAUGAAGUAUUUCGGUAUGUAAACUUCUAUCAUCAGGGAACAAAAUGACGGUACCUGACUAAAAAGCCCCGGCUAACUACGUGCCAUCAGCCGCGGCAAUACGUGCGGGGCAAGCGUUAUCCGAAUUUACUGGGUGUAACGGCAGCGUAGACGGCUGCGCACGUCUGAAGUGAAAGGCAUGGGCUCAACCUGUGGACUGCUUUGGGAACUGUGCAUCUAGAGUGUCGGAGAGGUAAGUGGAAUUCCUAGUGUAGCGGUGAAAUGCGUAUAUAUUAGGAGGAACACCAGUGGCGAAUGCAGCUUACUGGACCAUGACUGACGUUGAGGCUCGAAAGCGUGCUGAGCAAACAGGAUUAGAUACCCUGGUAGUCCACGCGGUAAAGGAGGAGUGCUAGGUGUUCGGGGUAGCAAAGCUAUUUGGUGCCGCAGCUGACGCAAUAAGGCAGUCCACCUGGGGAGUACGUUCGCAAGGAAUGAAACUCAAAGGAAUUGACGGGGGACCCGCACAAGCGGUGGAGCAUGUGGUUUAAUUCGAAGCAACGCGAAGAACCUUACCUGAUCUUGACAUCCCGAUGACCGCUUCGUAAUGGAAGUUUUUCUUCGGAACAUCGGUGACAGGUGGGGCAUGGUUGUCGUCAGCUCGUGUCGUGAGAUGUUGGGUUAAGUCCCGCAACGAGCGCAACCCUUAUCUUCGGUAGCCAGCAUUAAGGAUGGGCACUCUGGAGAGACUGCCAGGGAUAACCUGGAGGAAGGUGGGGAUGACGUCAAAUCAUCAUGCCCCUUAUGACCAGGGCUACACACGUGCUACAAUGGCGUAAACAAAGGGAAGCAGAGCCGCGAGGCCGAGCAAAUCUCAAAAAUAACGUCUCAGUUCGGAUUGUAGUCUGCAACUGGACUACAUGAAGCUGGAAUCGCUAGUAAUCGCAGAUCAGAAUGCUGCGGUGAAUACGUUCCCGGGUCUUGUACACACCGCCCGUCACACCAUGGGAGUCAGUAACGCCGGAAGUCAGUGACCCAACCGAAAGGAGGGAGCUGCCGAAGGUGGGACCGAUAA